GAUGUUUGAUACAAUUUAUAUACGAACAUGGUGUUUAUUUAACGUUUUCAUUAACACCUGCGAAUACUCCUUGACGGUAUAGCGAACAACGUAGAUUAAAAUAUAAUCUCCACGAUGCUUCUUUAAUAAUCAAUAUUUACGUAGCCCGUUAAUUAACUCAUUCAAGAAAGCUGCAUUUAUCGACCUUUAAUAUUUAAAGCAUUUACUUUUUUAUUUUUAAUAAUUAAAUUUCCAAAUCGGGCCUUCGAGAAGAUUAUCUUCGAUCUAAACAAUCAAAAUUUUUAUUCGACUACGUAUCUUCUUAUCAAAGAUAAUUAUCACGUCAUAUGCAUUUACGUUGCACAAUGAACUGCUCGAGCAAUGAUGCAGUCUCGAAAGGAUAAGCCAGUUAAUGAGAAUUUCAAGAAGAAGAAGAAGAAGAAGAAAAAGAAAAAGAA